UACGAAGGGUGCAAGCGUUACUCGGAAUUACUGGGCGUAAAGCGUGCGUAGGUGGUGAGUUAAGUCUGUCGUGAAAGCCCCGGGCUCAACCUGGGAAUGGCGAUGGAUACUGGCUCGCUAGAGUGCGGUAGAGGAGAGUGGAAUUCCCGGUGUAGCGGUGAAAUGUGUAGAGAUCGGGAGGAACACCGGUGGCGAAGGCGGGUCUCUGGGCGAAUUCCUGACGCUGGAGGCGCGAAAGCGUGGGGAGCAAACGGG
rnacentral:rRNA from 1 species